AUUAACGCUAGCGGCAGGCAUAAUACAUGCAAGUUGAACGGCAGCACAGGUAGCAAUACUGGGUGGCGAGUGGCGCACGGGUGCGUAACACGUAUGCAACCUACCCUAUACAGGCGAAUAACCUUUAGAAAUGAGGGCUAAUACGCCGUAGUAUUACAGAUGGGCAUCUAUUUGUAAUUAAAGAUUUAUCGGUAUAGGAUGGGCAUGCGUCCCAUUAGUUAGUUGGUAAGGUAACGGCUUACCAAGAC
rnacentral:rRNA from 1 species